rnacentral:rRNA from 1 species
CAAUAAGCGGAGGAAAAGAAACCAACUGGGAUUGCCUUAAGUAACGGCGAAGUGAAGCGGCAAUMGCUCAAAUUUGAAAGCUGGCCCCUUUGGGGUCCGCGUUGUAAUUUGUAGAGGAKGAUUCGGCGAGGGCUCCCGUCUAAGUCCCCUGGAACGGGGCGUCAUAGAGGGUGAGAAUCCCGUAUGUGAUGGGUUGCCUUAGCCAUGUGAAUCUCCUUCGACGAGUCGAGUUGUUUGGGAAUGCAGCUCUAAAUGGGAGGUAAAUUUCUUCUAAAGCUAAAUACCGGCCAGAGACCGAUAGCGCACAAGUAGAGUGAUCGAAAGAUGAAAAGCACUUUGGAAAGAGAGUUAAAAAGUACGUGAAAUUGUUGAAAGGGAAGCGCUUGCAGCCAGACUUGUCCGCAGUUGCUCAGCCGGUCUCCUGACCGGCGUACUCUUCUGCGGCCAGGCCAGCAUCAGUUCGGGCGGUCGGAUAAAGACCCUAGGAAUGUAGCUCCUCUCGGGGAGUGUUAUAGCCUGGGGUGGAAUGCGGCCAGCCUGGACUGAGGAUCUCGCUUCGGCUAGGAUGCUGGCGUAAUGGCUGUAAGCGGCCCGUCUUGAAACACGGACCAAGGAGUCUAACAUCUAUGCGAGUGUUUGGGUGUCAAACCCAUACGCGUAAUGAAAGUGAACGGAGGUGGGAACCCUCACGGGUGCACCAUCGACCGAUCCUGAUGUCUUCGGAUGGAUUUGAGUAAGAGCAUAGCUGUUGGGACCCGAAAGAUGGUGAACUAUGCCUGAAUAGGGUGAAGCCAGAGGAAACUCUGGUGGAGGCUCGCAGCGGUUCUGACGUGCAAAUCGAUCGUCAAAUUUGGGUAUAGGGGCGAAAGACUAAUCGAACCAUCUAGUAGCUGGUUCUGCC